rnacentral:rRNA from 1 species
UUAGAUCGUCUGCUACAACGAACGCUGGCGGCGUGCCUAACACAUGCAAGUCGAACGGAGUUGAGGGGCUUGCUCCUCAAUUUAGUGGCGCACGGGUGAGUAACGCGUACAUAAUCUGCCUGAUGGUUUGGCAUAACACUUGGAAAGGGGUGCUAAUACCGGAUAAGCCCACGGAGUCCUUGGACACUGCGGGAAAAGGAGGGGACCUUCGGGCCUUCCGCCAACAGAUGAGUCUGCGUACCAUUAGCUAGUUGGUAGGGUAAAGGCCUACCAAGGCGACGAUGGUUAGCUGGUCUGAGAGGAUGAUCAGCCACACUGGAACUGAGACACGGUCCAUACUCCUACGGGAGGCAGCAGUGGGGAAUUCUGCUCAGUGGGGGAAACCCUGACGCAGCAGCGCCGCGUGAGUGAUGAAGGCCCUUGGGUCGUAAAGCUCUGACAGACGCAAAUAAAUGCAUGAUGGCUAAUAUCCAUUGUGCUUGACGGUACUGUCAUAGGAAGCACCGGCUAACUCCGUGCCAGCAGCCGUGGUAAUACAAGCCGAAUUCU